rnacentral:rRNA from 1 species
UACGUAGGGGGCAAGCGUUGUCCGGAAUCAUUGGGCGUAAAGCGCGCGUAGGCGGCUCGGAAAGUCGGGCGUGAAAUGCCGGGGCUCAACCCCGGGACUGCGUCCGAUACUUCCGAGCUGGAGGUAGGUAGGGGAGAUCGGAAUUCCUGGUGUAGCGGUGAAAUGCGCAGAUAUCAGGAGGAACACCGGUGGCGAAGGCGGAUCUCUGGGCCUUACCUGAUGCUGAGGCGCGAAAGCUAGGGGAGCGAACAGG